UCCGGGACACUUCCUUCGCGGAGCCUUGUGGGUAGCCGACCUGGGGUCUCCUGGCGACGACGAUGGCGGGGGAUGUGGGCGGUCGCAGCUGCACGGACUCGGAGCUCCUGCUGCACCCGGAGCUGCUGUCCCAGGAGUUCCUUCUCCUCACCCUGGAGCAGAAGAACAUAGCUGUUGAAAAUGACAAAAGAAUAAACAAAGACAAUCUUACUGACCUUUAUGUCCAGCAUGCAAUACCAUUGCCUCAGAGAGAUCUGCCAAAGAAUAGAUGGGGGAAAAUGAUGGAAAAGAAAAGAGAACAACAUGAGAUAAAAAAUGAAACUAAAAGGAGUAACACUGUAGAUGGGUUAAGGAAAAGACCCCUCAUUGUGUUUGAUGGAAGUUCAACAAGUACAAGUAUAAAAGUGAAAAGGACAGAGAAUGGCGAUAAUGAUCGACUCAAGCCUCCCCCUCAGGCAAGCUUUACCAGUAAUGCAUUUAGAAAAUUAUCAAAUUCCUCUUCAAGUGUAUCACCCCUACUUCUGUCUUCCAAUUUGCCUACGAACAAUAAAAUGGAACACAGUAAUAAUGAUACUAAACAGAACCAUGACUUAAUGCAUAGGAAAAGUCCUUCAGGCCCUGUGAAGUCACCACCUUUGUCCCCUGUUGGAACUACUCCAGUGAAGUUAAAGCGAGCCGCUCCUAAAGAAGAAGUGGAGGCUGUGAAUAACCUGAAGCCCCCAGAAGUGAAGAGGAAGAUACAACAUGUUACAUGGCCGUGAAGGAGAGUUUCCCAAAAUUAAACUAUGUCAAAAGUAUUAUUGUUCAUGGUGCAAUUUUUUGAACCUGGAUUGAUUGGUAUCAGACAUGAACUCAACAGACCAGCCACAUUUGGGGGCCCCAGCUGUGAAAGAGGAGGGGGCCAGUGGCUUGGUGUAUGGGAUGUCCUGAUCCCACAGAGACUAACAUGUUGACUUACUACACUGGAGGAUGGCAACAGAACCGCAAAUCUAUCCCAUAAAAGACAAACAAAUGGACAAUGAAAUAAUGGGAAUCAUGACAGAAAAUCAAGCCGUGACGUGAGAUAGUGAAGGAUGGAAAAGCUUUUUUCUGGUGGAGGUCAUUCAGACUGAAACACAAUCUAACCCAGCACUCUUAUUUUAUGAAGAGGAAAUGUACCCAGAGAGAGGAGGCAUCUUCUCUGGAAGCAUUCAGUUAGUUGGGGCAGAGUGAAAAUUUCCCUCAAGAACGCUAAUGGGCUGGAAUUCACUGGGAUCGGGAGUCUGAUUUCCAAUGUGUUGGCCUCUGUAGUCGUGAGUAAGCUUCCAGCUUUCUGGGCUUCCAUUUCCUCCUCUGGCCAGCAGGGAAAAAGCUUGCUCUGAUUUCUUACAUAUAAAGAAGAGUUCUUCUGGAGAAAAUAGCUUCUAAAGAACCAUAAAAUCAUUGAAGAACUAAAUAUGAAGGCAAAAAUCAGAAAGCAUGGAACCCAGAGAAGCAGGCCAGUUUGCCUGAUGCUUUAUUGAAACUGAGCUGUGGUUCAGGUGGCUGAUGUAAUAGAGUGUUGGGUUGCAACCUGGGGAACUUCUCAGCUAGCCCCCAGCAUGGAGGACAGGAAGAGAUCACUCUAGAUUGAAACACUGAAGGUUUCCUACAUGCCCUACAUUGCUCGGAUAUUGAGACAUGAACGUAUGUUGUCUGUCCUUCAGGUGCUCUUCUCUUUUUGCAAUCUUUCACAUAAUGUUAAAGAAGGCAGGUCAUCGUAAGACAUGGGUCUGUGACAGUGGGGAAUGCCAGAGCUCAGCCAUGAAUAGUGACUCUACACCAUCUUCAUGUUCAAUUAGCUCCUGUUCUCCUACUCACUUCCUGGAGCUUAUGUUAUGGCAUCAAGAGCAGAACACUAUAUUCCAAGAGAAAGAGAACUUGGGAGGGGGAGCAAAGAGAAGAUACAAAGGGAGACGUGGUGGUGUUGACUGAAAGAUUUCUUUUAAAUGAAAGGUGUGAAGCAAUUUCAUUGAAACUGACCUGACCUAUCAGAACUUGCUCUUCACACAGGUAUGAGGCAGACAUGCAAUAAAGUGUUGUUUGUACUUAGGACGUCAAAGUUUAACCAUUAUUUAUUUUACACACUGUGCCUGGCAAAGGAUUUUUUUUCUGGAUAACUUUAUUGUAAAUCACAUAAUCUUGCUUUAGACCUUACAUGAUAGAAAGUUAUACAGCUAUAACUUGCUCAUUACCUUAAGUAGUUAGGAAUACUUUCAAGUUUGUGACAUUCAUUGCACUUAAAAAUUAAAUACACAGUGAAAGAAAGAUACAUUUAUAAAGACAUCAUUCAAAAGGAUUUUACACUUGGAUUUGCCUUGCUUGAUUACAAAAAUUCAAAACAAUUUUCCCACCUAGGUUUUAUCUAAGUGUCUUCUUCUUCCUUGGGGUAGAACUAUUUAUUACAAAGAAAUGGUUUGUACAAAGAAAUGAAAGGAUUUAAACAAAUGUGACUAUCACUGAGAAGCACAUGGGGAAAGUCUCAAAAUGGCUGGUGGAACCAGGAUAUACUACUGCCUGGUGGAAAAAGAAAAUAUAUGAAUGAGUGAGCAUCGCGAGGCCAGACGGUGCUGAAUUCAGAUGUCCUUUCCACAGUCGGGGCAAAGGAUGUCAUCACUCUCUGUGAGGAAGCCGCGCCCCACCAGGGACAGCGAGCACUUCUUGCAGUUAAAGCAAUCGUUAUGCCACUGCCGUUCCUCAAAGGAAAUGUACUUUGUGCCACCAAGUCCUGUUAACGGAGAAAAAGAAUAUUGGAUGAAGAAAGAAAGGGAAUAUUGCUCAGUUAGAACUGGGCUACUGGGACUGAGUCCUGGCUUGAUCCGUUUCAAAGCUUGGAUUGCGUAAUGUGGACAGUGCGUAUUUUGUAAGUGGGUGUUGGUAUACACUAUUUACACAGGCAUAAGUCAUACACCAAACAAUCUUGAACUCAUAACUAUCAAGAAACAUAUAAGCCGGCUCUUGAGCUAUAUGAUAAAUACUAUAAUUAUGACUACCUUCUUGUUUGUAUUUGUUUUCUUAAGUGUUUUUCCUACCGG